rnacentral:rRNA from 1 species
UACGUAGGGGGCAAGCGUUGUCCGGAAUCAUUGGGCGUAAAGAGCGUGUAGGCGGCUCGGUAAGUCCGCUGUGAAAGUCCAGGGCUCAACCCUGGAAAGCCGGUGGAAACUGUCGAGCUAGAGUCCGGAAGAGGCGAGUGGAAUUCCUGGUGUAGCGGUGGAAUGCGUAGAGAUCCGGAAGAACACCGGUGGCGAAGGCGGUCUGCUGGGACGGUACUGACGCUGAGACGCGAAAGCGUGGGGAGCGAACAGG